rnacentral:rRNA from 1 species
AGAGUUUGAUCAUGGCUCAGAUUGGACGCUGGCGGCAGGCCUAACACAUGCAAGUCGAGCGGUAGAGAGAAGCUUGCUUCUCUUGAGAGCGGCGGACGGGUGAGUAAUGCCUAGGAAUCUGCCUGGUAGUGGGGGAUAACGUCCGGAAACGGACGCUAAUACCGCAUACGUCCUACGGGGGAAAGCAGGGGACCUUCGGGCCUUGCGCUAUCAGAUGAGCCUAGGUCGGAUUAGCUAGUUGGUGGGGUAAUGGCUCACCAAGGCGACGAUCCGUAACUGGUCUGAGAGGAUGAUCAGUCACACUGGAACUGAGACACGGUCCAGACUCCUACGGGAGGCAGCAGUGGGGAAUAUUGGACAAUGGGCGAAAGCCUGAUCCAGCCAUGCCGCGUGUGUGAAGAAGGUCUUCGGAUUGUAAAGCACUUUAAGUUGGGAGGAAGGGCAGUAAAUUAAUACUUUGCUGUUUUGACGUUACCGACAGAAUAAGCACCGGCUAACUCUGUGCCAGCAGCCGCGGUAAUACAGAGGGUGCAAGCGUUAAUCGGAAUUACUGGGCGUAAAGCGCGCGUAGGUGGUUCGUUAAGUUGGAUGUGAAAUCCCCGGGCUCAACCUGGGAACUGCAUUCAAAACUGACGAGCUAGAGUAUGGUAGAGGGUGGUGGAAUUUCCUGUGUAGCGGUGAAUGCGUAGAUAUAGGAAGGAACACCAGUGGCGAAGGCGACCACCUGGACUGAUACUGACACUGAGGUGCGAAAGCGUGGGGAGCAAACAGGAUUAGAUACCCCGGUAGU